CUCUCCAGUCCUCAGCUCCCCUGAGACAGGUCUCGGAGCCCUGGCCUCUCUUGUGGGGAAGGGGGCAGGUGAGGCUGGCUGACUGUGUGGACACUUGCCUGAUCACUUCAAGUCAAGCCACCUGGGCCAGGCUGAUUCCAACCUGACUAGGGAUAAGGUGAAAAGGGGAACGGCUCUCAAAGUUUAGCGUGCUUACUAUUUUGUCAUUAUUAAGCACUUACCAUGUGCCAGGCACUGUGCUAAAUUCUUUUUUUUUUUUUUUUUGAGACGGAGUCUCACUCUGUCAACCAGGCUGGGGUGCAAUGGUGCAGUCUCGGUUCACUGCAAGCUCCGCCUCCCAGAUUCAAGCGAAUCUCCCGCCUCAGCCUCCCGAGUAGCUGGGACUACAGGCGCCCGCCACCAUGCUUGGCUAAUUUUUGUACUUUUAGUAGAGACCGGGGUUUCACCAUGUUGGCCAGGUUGGUCUUGAACUCCUGACCUCAAGUAAUCUGCCCGCCUCGGCCUCCUAAAGUGCUGGGAUUACAGGUGUGAGCCACCGCACAGGCCGCUAAAUUCUUUUAUCAUGUAUCAUCGCUUUAAAGCUUCACAACAAAUCUACGAAGCAGACAGACGCUGUUUACCUCCUGGAGGCUAUCCAAGACCACACAGCUGGAACCAGGGUUUGCUCUACAGACCAUGGUCUCAGCGACGAUCACUGCUGCCUCCUGGGCAGGGACCACCCGAGGAACUGAGGGUGUCCUUGUUUUUCC
rnacentral:lncRNA from 10 species